rnacentral:snoRNA from 1 species
AUUCCAUGAUGGGGACAUUCUAGGAUGUAGUCUUGGAAGUGCUCCCAUGCUUUUGAAACGGAUUCAUCAUGUUGUUGCUGAAAACUUGUAAUCUUCCCACGGAGAGC